UUAGCUGCUAUAGGAUAUAUUCAGAUCCAACCAGAUUCCUGUCAUACGCAUGGAAAUAAUCAAAAUACUUCCAAAAAUAUAUGUAUAAACUGGAAUGAGCAGAGAUCUGGCAAUUAAAAGUGCUCACAGCAUAUCCCAUGCACUCCGAGAUGCUGCGGAAUGGCCAAACUUGAAGCCAACGUGUCCUAUCCCCUCCCAGCGGAGGACACUGCAGUUAUUUUUGGGGCACUUUGCGAAACAAACACAGUCAUAUUUCAUCAAACAAAAGGACGAAACGAUAGCAAUAAUAUAAGAGCCAAAGGCCCGAGACACAGACCGGAAGAGAUAAAGCAUUGCUCAUUGGCUCGCACGCAGGCGACAAACGAUGAACAGACCUGGGUACCAUUAGAGGUACAUACAUAGCAUGUGGCAUGCCUUCCCUGUGGCGACACAAACACACGCACAUUACAAUUCGGCAGACGGCGCAGUUGUCGAGCACAUCCGCAAUGCAAGAUCCACAUACGUGACAGGUAAACGAGGUAAUUUUAAUUAUGGCCACAUUGGAGUCGUGUACAAUCGAUGUCGAUGUCUUCCUUGGUUCAUCAGCAUGCCGCCAGCGUGUGCUUCUGCGUCUGCGGAGUGCUGAGUAUGAUGAGGUUGCCACCACCCACUACAGCUCCCGCCAGGGCCGUUAUGGAUGCGCGCCAAAUUGGGAUGGAAGGGCUACAGGACUGGAUCUGUCUGUGUUUGCCUCUUAGCCAAAUUACAUAAUUUAGCAGCGGCCUUUUUUUCGACUCA